rnacentral:rRNA from 1 species
UACGUAGGUGACAAGCGUUGUCCGGAUUUACUGGGCGUAAAGAGCGCGCAGGCGGUCGAUCAAGUCGAGUGUGAAAGCCCCCGGCUCAACUGGGGAGGGUCAUUCGAAACUGGUCGACUCGAAGGCAGGAGAGGGUAGUGGAAUUCCCGGUGUAGUGGUGAAAUGCGUAGAUAUCGGGAGGGACCCCAGUGGGGAAGGCGGCUACCUGGGCUGUUUGUUGACGCUGAGGCGCGAAAGCUAGGGGAGCAAACGGG